rnacentral:rRNA from 1 species
GGUUUGAUCCUGGCUCAGAUUGAACGCUUUGGCGGGAUUGCUUUACACAUGCAAGUCAAGCGGCACGGACUUCGGUCUGGUGGCGAGUGGCGAACGGGUGAGUAAUGUAUCGGAACGUGCCUAGUAGCGGGGGAUGCUACGCCGAAAGUGUAGCCCUAAUACCACGCCCUUCGAGAAGCAGGGGGACCUUCGGGCCUCGCACUACUGAAACGGCCGAUAUCGGAUUAGCUAGUUGGUGGGGUAACGGCUCACCAAGGCGACGAUCCGUAGCUGGUUUGAGAGGACGACCAGCCACACUGGGACUGAGACACGGCCCAGACUCCUACGAGGAGGCAGCAGUGGGGAAUUUUGGACAAUGCAGAGCAGCCAUCCCACGCGUAUUGCGGCUAAGGCCUUCGGGUUGUAAAGCACUUUUGGCGAAGGAAAGAAACGGCACGGGAUAAUACCCCGUGCAACUGACGGUACCUGCAGAAUAAGCACCGGCUAACUACGUGCCAGCAGCCGCGGUAAUACAUGUAGGGUGCAAGCACGUUAAUCGGAAUUACUGGGCGUAAAAGCGUGCGCAGGCGGUUCGGAAAGAAGAUGUGAAAUCCCAGAGCUUAACUUUGGAACUGCAUUUUUAACUACCGAGCUAGAGUGUGUCAGAGGGAGGUGGAAUUCCGCAUGUAGCAGUGAAAUGCGUAGAUAUGCGGAGGAACACCGAUGGCAGAAGGCGGCCUCCUGGGAUAACGCGGCGCUCAUGCACGAAAGCGUGGGGAGCAAACAAGUUAGAUACCUGGUAGUCCACGCCCUAAACGAUGUCAACUAAGCUGUUGGGGCCUUCGGGCCUUGGUAGCGCAGCUAACGCGUGAAGUUACGACACUUCGGUACGUUAGCAUUAAAACUCAAAGGAAUUGACGGGGACCCGCACAAGCGGUGGAUGAUGUGGAUUAAUUCGAUGCAACGCGAAAAACCUUACCUACCCUUGACAUGUCUGGAAUCUAAUGAAAAGAGAUUUGGGAGUGCUCGCAAGAGAACCGGAACACAGGUGCUGCAUGGCUGUCGUCAGCUCGUGUCGUGAGAUGUUGGGUUAAGUCCCGCAACGAGCGCAACCCUUGUCAUUAGUUGCUACGAAAGGGCACUCUAAUGAGACUGCCGGUGACAAACCGGAGGAAGGUGGGGAUGACGUCAGAGUCUCAUGGCCCUUAUGGUGGGCUUCACACGUCAUACAAUGGUCGGGACAGAGAGGGUGCGCCAACCCGCGAGGAGCCAAUCCCAGAAACCCGAUCGUAGUCCGGAUCGCAGUCUGCAACUCGACUUGCGUGAAGUCGGAAUCGCUAGUAAUCGCGGAUCAACAUGUCGCGGUGAAUACGUUCCCGGGUCUUGUACACACCGCCCGUCACACCAUGGGAGUGGGUUUACCAGAAGUAGUUAGCCUAACCGUAAGGAGGGCGAUUACCACGGUAGGAUUCAUGACUGGGGUGAAGUCGUAACAAGGUAG